GAUGAACGCUGGCGGCGUGCCUAACACAUACAAGUGGAGCGACGAACCUCCUUCGGGAGGGGCAAAGCCGCGAACGGGUGAGUAACACGUGGGUUAUCUGCCCCAAUGACCGGGACAACUCGAGGAAACUCGAGCUAAUACCGGAUGUGCUCCUCGGAGGAAAGGAAGCUUCGGCCUCCGCAUUGGGAUGAGCCCGCGGCGCAUUAGCUAGUUGGUGAGGUAACGGCUCACCAAGGCGACGAUGCGUAGCUGGUCUGAGAGGACGAUCAGCCACACUGGAACUGAGACACGGUCCAGACUCCUACGGGAGGCAGCAGUGGGGAAUCUUGCGGAAGGCACGAAAGUGAGACGCAGCAACGCCGCGUGCGGGAAGAAGGUCUUCGGAUCGUAAACCGCUUUCAGUUGGUACGAGGGUUACGCGGUGAAUAGCCGGCGUAACUGACGGUACCUUCAGAAGAAGCCCCGGCUAACUACGUGCCAGCCGCCGCGGUAAAAC
rnacentral:rRNA from 1 species